rnacentral:lncRNA from 1 species
AGGCAUACAAGACCCUAACUUCAUUGAAGGGUGUGACUGCCUUUGGAUUUGAUUUGGUUCGUGGCACCAAGACCCUUGAUUUGGUCAAGGCAGGUUUCCCUGAGGGAAAGUACCUCUUUGCUGGUGUUGUUGAUGGAAGGAACAUCUGGGCCAAUGACUUUGCUGCGUCUCUCAGCACCUUGCAGGCACUUGAGGGCAUUGUUGGUAAAGGUAAUUGUUCUUCCAAAAUCAUCUGCCUUUUACCUGACAUUACUAGGGAAUUAUUCAAAAACAAAUAUAUGGAAUGUUGAUCUGUUGUCUAUCUGAUGCAGACAAGCUUGUGGUCUCAACCUCCUGUUCUCUUCUCCACACCGCUGUUGAUCUUAUCAAUGAGACUAAGCUUGAUGAUGAAAUCAAGUCAUGGCUGGCGUUUGCUGCUCAGAAGGUUGUUGAAGUGAACGCAUUGGCUAAGGCUUUGGCUGGUCAGAAGGAUGAGGUAUUUUACCCGCAUGCUUCUCUAGUAGUGGACCCUUGAAUUAUCUGUACUGUAAAUGAGCGAAAGUACUAGAACUCAAUAUUUUUUCUCUUUCAGGCCCUUUUCUCUGCCAAUGCUGCGGCUUUGGCUUCAAGGAGAUCUUCCCCAAGAGUCACCAACGAGGGUGUCCAGAAGGCUGUAAGUUUGAUGUCAAACUGAUGCACUGUUCUCACUCAAUGAUUUAUUUUCCUAAUCUUGUAUUCAUUGAGAUAGUUUCUUAUUCUUGUUAUCUCAGGCUGCUGCUUUGAAGGGAUCUGACCACCGUCGUGCAACUAAUGUUAGUGCUAGGCUAGAUGCUCAGCAGAAGAAGCUCAACCUCCCAAUCCUGCCAACCACAACCAUUGGAUCCUUCCCACAGACCGUAGAGCUCAGGAGAGUUCGCCGUGAGUACAAGGCGAAAAAGUUAGUCUCCUGAAUUUAGUCCUUGGGCUUAUGCGUUACACAUUUCCUUAAAUUGUUGUGAUGCUAACGGUUUCUCUAAUCUCUCUUAUACUAGGGUCUCUGAGGAGGACUACGUUAAGGCCAUCAAGGAAGAGAUCAAGAAAGUUGUUGACCUCCAAGAGGAACUUGACAUCGAUGUUCUUGUCCACGGAGAGCCAGAGGUGAGUUUUUUAUUCUAUGUUUUUGCCUGAAGCCUUGAAGUGGAGGGAAUGUACAAAAGUUAUUUCUGGUAGUCCUUUUUACUGUUUCUGAUGAGACAUAUUUUCACAAUUUUGUAGAGAAACGACAUGGUUGAGUACUUCGGGGAGCAGUUGUCUGGUUUUGCCUUCACUGCAAACGGAUGGGUCCAAUCUUAUGGAUCUCGCUGUGUGAAGCCACCAGUUAUCUACGGUGAUGUGAGCCGUCCCAAGGCAAUGACCGUCUUCUGGUCCGCAAUGGCUCAGAGCAUGACCUCUCGCCCAAUGAAGGGUAUGCUUACCGGUCCCGUCACCAUUCUCAACUGGUCCUUCGUCAGAAACGACCAGCCCAGGUACAUAAUGUUACCAUAAUCUAAAAACAAAUAUGACUACCAAAUAAAGAACAAAACACUAAAACAAUCUUGGAAUCAUUGUAGGCACGAAACCUGUUACCAGAUCGCUUUGGCCAUCAAGGACGAAGUCGAGGAUCUUGAGAAAGGUGGAAUCGGUGUCAUUCAGAUUGAUGAGGCUGCACUUAGAGAAGGACUACCACUCAGGAAAUCCGAGCAUGCUUUCUACUUGGACUGGGCCGUUCACUCCUUCAGAAUCACCAACUGUGGAGUCCAAGACAGCACCCAGGUUUGCUUAUAUAAAAACUUCUCAUAUCAAGUCUCAUGUAGUGUAAUGAUUUCUCAGUUGCUCAUAACUUGUGUGUUUCUGUUGUUUUUUUUGCAGAUCCACACUCACAUGUGCUACUCUCACUUCAAUGACAUCAUACACUCCAUCAUCGACAUGGAUGCUGAUGUCAUCACCAUUGAGAACUCCAGGUCUGACGAGAAGCUUCUCUCCGUGUUCCGUGAAGGAGUGAAGUACGGUGCUGGAAUUGGUCCAGGAGUCUACGACAUCCACUCUCCAAGAAUACCAUCUUCUGAGGAAAUCGCAGACAGGGUGAACAAGAUGCUUGCUGUCCUAGAGCAGAACAUCCUUUGGGUUAACCCUGACUGUGGUCUCAAGACCCGUAAGUACACCGAGGUUAAGCCUGCGCUCAAGAACAUGGUUGAUGCGGCCAAGCUCAUCCGCUCCCAGCUCGCCAGUGCCAAGUGAAGAUAACCUUGAUUUGAACAAGGAAAACGUCUUUUUUUUUCUAAAAUGGUUGUGUUUUAUUUGGUUUAAUAACUUUCUUAAAAAUAUCUUUAGUCGAAGUUAGAUUUGAUGCAUAUGGUUUCUUUCUUGUUGAGAGAGAGGGAUGAUAUGGCAUCCCCUGGAUUUGCUGCAAUGUUUGUGAUUUUCUUUUUGUCUCCAAUAUAUUUCUCUGAUGGAAUGUCUUUUUUUCUAAAGUCUCUUGAAAAGGAAUAAGAGGAUUGAUUCUUAUACAAAUACUUUUGCUUGCGUCGUCCACUUGUCCUAAACUCUCUACUUUUUUUCCAACGCAAUCAGUGCUUUGUAGCCUGUUCUUUAAGUAGACCCCUUUGUAUGUCUCUAUCUGGCUUCUGUAUCAGAUUGUUUCCAUUAAAUUUCUUUAUUGGCAGAAAAAAAAAUCUGAAUUGCCCCCACAAAGAGCGUGGUGGCUGAUGUUUGGUUGCAGUCUCACGGUCCACCACUUCUGACUCGAAGAUUUCUUUCCCUUGGAGAACAUCUUCGUUGAUGUUUAUGUAUCAUUGGAUUUGGAGCCAAGUAGAAAGUUUUGUUUUUAGUAAAGCUUUAUGAUUCUGAGAUUGUAUGUUCUCAGGUUUUGUCGUAAUAAAUCAAGUCUGUUUGAGUUCAAACAAGAAAAAGAUUGUAGCUCGGUCUCUAAGAAAAGUUCUUGCUCAUUUACAUUUUUAAAUAUUUAUUUCUCUCUCUAAGAUAGUGUGAAAUUAACCAAGUUGCUAAAUCAAAAUCAAUUAGUGUAAAAGAACAUCAACCUUCUAAGAUCGUUUUCAAGACGUUUUUUUUAUCAAAGAUGGUGGAUGAUGAAUCAUAGAAAGUAGAAACUUUAAUUAAGUUAGAAGAAAGUGUGUACAACAACAUAAAGACGCUAUGACAUAAUCAGAGUGAACUCUUAAGAGCUUCAAAAUUGUUGGUCUUAGCACACUGAUUGCAACAACCGAAUCACAUGAGCAAUCCUUCUGCGUUGUUAAGAGCUUCUUUCGCUUUCCUGAAUUUCCCAGAGAUCGCCUUAUUAGUUUUCACAACAUAUUCCUUCACAAAGAACUUGAUGCCAUCGCGCAGACCUUCAUAGUCUGGAUUCAAGGCUAUGCGUGUGAACAAGUUCCACACAAGAUUCUCGGGGUGCUCAAAGAUGGCCUCAAACAGCAUUCGAAAGUGCAUAAUUCGUUUUGGAGUUAACUCCACUGGAUUUGCCAAGUCCACGGAUUUGAGGACCGCAAGAGAAAGAUUGAAGGUCACAAUAAUCUCUGCCACAAAUUUCGCAAGAUGCAUCGAUCUCUGAAGUGACAUCGACUCUAGUUCUUUAUAAUGGUCCCAAAUGCAAUACUGCAGGAAAAAACCCACAAGAUGAUAAGAGAAAAAAGAAUGGUUACAUAAACCGGCUUCGUAACUAUAAGAUAGUAGAAAAGUACCUGCAGUGUAAACUUAUGAUUUUUGUCGUGCUCGCACAACUUUGAAGCAAGGACUGUGUAGUACUUGUUAAAUGCUUUCUCCUGUAAACAGCACUCAACUAGAACCCUCAUGAUCUCUCUGUCCUGUUUUCCUGGCAAAUCCAAUCUAAGAAGUUUCUCGAAUGCAUCAAUGUAGUCCUCACUACUCAUGAUCACACAAAAUAUAGCUUUUCUGGAAUCUGUAUUCAUCCUCUGUGCUUCAGCUAGCUUUAACAUUUUCUGAGCCUCAACAACCUCUGCAUCCAUUGUUUCUGCUACAUCUUCAGCGGUGUGUGAGUCAACCACCAAAUCGCCAGAUAUCCACCACUGACCCUUCUUCUCGGGGUCAAGCAGCUUGCUCCAUGUAAGCCCUCUUAACAAUACAUCUUCCACUCUCAACUGGGUAAAUUAUACAAAAAAAAGGACAAAAACAAAUGCAUUUUACUCAAAACUAACUAAUCCAAAAGCGACUGGUAAUAAGCAGAAGCGUACAUGUUUAUGAUUGUCAUGAAGGAGUCCAUUUUAUAAGGAAUAGAGCGCUAAAAUAUUACCUUUUGAAGCCACUUCUUUACCCUUGUGUUCUGGACGGAAUCCUCUUUAGCUCUCAACUUGUUGUUCUUUAUUGCAGAAAUGGUUUCAAGCAUCUUUUCCAUCUGCAAAUUCAUUGUACAAAUAACUUUAAAAAUCAUAGUAUAACAUUUUCUCCAGAAGACAAUUUUUCAUAUAAUCCAUACCAUCAUGUUACUCAUUUGUGUCUGGCCAUCGGAGGAGGUUUUCAAUUCAUUUGCCUUGUUCUGGAUGCUGAUGAUGAAUGUUUUCAUAGCCAAAGGAUCAUCACUUCUUAUUUUCAUUCCACAACCUAUCCAGAGCAUUAUCAAGAUAUGAGAGACGGAACAUAAACAUCUCAAAAAACCUUAAGUGGCCAUCGAAAGAUAAUAAUGAUAAUAAUAGAACUUACAAUCUAAAACAGUUGUGAUAGUGAAAGCAUCAACUUUAGUCAGCCGUUUCCCCAAUGUCAUUAGGAAAUCAUAAAUAAGAUCACUGCAAAACAAAUAUAGAGAGAUUCGAGAUUCAUAUUUCAUCCAAGAAAAUAACCAAAAAUAUCAUUUUUGUUUCUGUUAAGUGAGAGGACUAGAGAUUGGGUUGGGUGUUGGGUAAAAACAUAUUAAACAAAUCGCUGUAAGAAAAACUAAAAUCCAUAAUACAUGAAAAUCACUCAAAUGUGUGUUUAGAUUAUCGGUCUAACAACCUGAUAAGUAAACAGCAUUCUUGGUUCAAUUCUAGAAAUUUAAAAACAGUGGGGAAUAACUACACUUGCUCUAGAUCAAACUGAACUAUGUGUAGCUGAAGAAAAUUUUACCUGGAGCAAACUCCCAAUAUGCAAAGAUAAGAAAGCAAAAGAGAAAUCCCAUUUAAAGAGAGACUGUCUUCUUUCUGAUAUUCAUCCUGAAAAUAAAUUAAGGACUUGUUAGUAAGCACUAUUUCAAGCAAGGUGGUGACAUAUAUUGUGGAAAACAAAAUCUUAAACAAAAUCGAGAAUUUAGCUUACAAUUCAUGUAGGAAGAACUCAGGGACAUACCUCGAAAGAUUUAGCAAGUGAUGCAAUAAGCUUUGCACUAAAAUCCAUUCCAACUAGACACGCCAUGCCAGCUAUGAAAGAAGCAAAUACAGCGUACCUAAACAAGGAAAAACAAAUUGUUCAGCAAUAUCUCGACUAAUAUGGACGUCAAUGUAUUCAAGUAGUUCCACACAUGACUAUAGGGCUAGCAGUAACAUGAGCGGACACUCAGAAAGUUGUAAAGAUCUUAACUGUUCAUUGCCUCUCGCAUAAGUUGUCAAAACUUCUUCACAAAAAAUCUGAUAGGACACACUUCUCGCAACAGACUGCAUUAACAAAUGCUACAGGGGUUACAAGAAGUAAAGAUAAUAUGAAAGAACAAUAACAAAAUGGAGUUGAAGCAACUUCAACAAUGAAAUCUAGGAUGAUUUGAUAAUCUCAAGAUAUCAACCAUGCAGCUAUCAAACAAUUCUAGAGGAAAUAAUGCGAAGGAUAUUUGAGCUUACACGAUAUAUUGAGGCAAGUUCUGCAGUUAUUGUUUCAACAUUGGAUUCAGCCAUCUUAUUGAGAAGACCUGUAACACAAACCAAGCAUAUCAAACUAAGAUUACAGAAUUAGAAACACACAAAGGAUAAAAAGCUUUUGUUAGCUAUACCUUUUAUCCGUGUACGCAUUUUAGUGAGUUCUUCAGAUUCACUUUUGGCCUGAGAUCUCAAAUGAGGAGCAACAUACUUGCUGCUACUCUCUGGCUUAUGCUCGUGCAAAGGAGGUUCUACUUUCUCCAAGCUUGACGGUGAAUCGUGAUAAGUAAUAGUCUCUGACUCACCAUCACCUGUGAUAUUCAUCGGAUCACUUUCUAGAUCUUCAUCUACAGACUUCUUCUUCUUAUGCCGUUUACGGUCUCUUUUUCCUGCAGGCUCUUCAGAAAAAUCAGAUUCUUCACGCUCCAAAUCUUCAUUUGGUAGCUUAUCGACAUCCUCAUGGUCAUGUUUUUCUUCGGAUCUCUUUUUCUUACGUUUCUUACGAGAAUCACCAAGUUCAGAUUCCAUCGAAUCAAGUACAGAUGGAAGUCCUUCGAACAAAUCGUUCAAUCCAUCAUCCAAGCCCCUUAGUUUUCCUUUCUUUACCUUGAGCUUCUUUGCGAGCCUUCUCUCAAGUUCAGCAUCCUGGUCACCAGAUAUCACAGUUGGUGUAUCCAUUUCAAGAAACUCUUCAAAUUUAGUCUUCUUCUUUGGUCUAUUCAGAUCCUUCAUUCUCUGUACUCUCUGCAUCUUCUUCUCCUUUGAUUUGACUCUAACCUCUUCUUUCUUAUGUAUAAAAGACUUUCCAUCAUCCUUGUUUCCGCUAGGCCUACUUGAUUCCAUAUGUUCAGUUUCACUAUUACUUAUCUGUUGAAAAUUUUCAGACUUGAUCACCUCACCAGUCUUCUGAGCUGAUGAUGAGACUCGUUUCUCCUUUUCGGACUUCUGAGAUCCAGCAAACCAACAUUAUCCAUCAACAAACAAUUAAACAAGAAAACUACACCUUAGUUAAAUAAAACAAAGAUUGGCUCAUACCUGACGCUGAAGCCAAGAUUCAUGUUUUUUCUGGUUCUUCUGCAAGCGAGCUUCUUUUCGCUUUUCAUGGCGUGAGCUCCCUGGCGAUCAUCAAAAACAAAUAAAAGGAGUUUUCUUCAAAAUACUAGCUCCAACAGAAAAAUAGCUAAGAGCAUUACUAAGACAAAAUAUCAGCUUACCCAUGUUUAGCUGGCCCAAUAGAUUCUCUGCAAACACCUAAAGAAGAUAAAAAUUAGAACUUUAGCAUUAAGCUGAAUAAGUUACAGUUUUAUAUAACACUGACUCCGAAAUCAUUGCAGUUGUAGAGCUAAACCCUAGUUUUAUUAAACCUUAAAACUUAAGCAUUCACAGCAAUUCAACAAAACAAUGAAACUACGCCGACAAUGUAAGUUUCAAAAUCUAUAAUUGCACAAAACUAAAUUGAAAACGCCACUUAGAAAUCGAAAUAAUGAUCAGCAGACCCAAUGUAGAAUGAAGCAAAGCAAAGAAGAAAUCGACAGAAUCCAAAUCAAAAAUCCACAUAGAAAGAUGGAGCAAUACUUGAAAGACGAGAAUUGAUUCGAAUCUUGUUCGUGUUGGCUCUCUCUAUCGCUGUGAUUAAAGGAAGUAGGAAACGAAACCUGAAAGGAGUGGGUUUUUUAAAUUAGGGUUUUUGUGGAAUUUUUAAAGUUAUAACGAAGAUGGAGAAACAAAGCCCGCCAAGUUAUUGGGCCUAAAAACCAAGAUGCCAAAUUUUUGGCCAUUUCGUUUUCUUUACUUCUUUUGUGGUUGAUGUUUACUCUAAACUAAAACCAAACACAACGUGAAAAUUUCUUUUGUUUAUAAACUGCGUGUUGUGUCCACAAGAUUGAAAUUAUAAGACCAUGUACACCGGUGAAACAAAUAGAGUAUCAAAAGCCCAAAUAUAUUUUUUUAAUGGAUCAGACACAAUUUUUGGGCUUGAUCCGUAUCACUGGGGUGAGACUUUUGAUACCCAGUAUCAUUGACGUGGCGGCUUCUUAUUGGUUCCGAAAACGAGUUUCUUUUUCUAAAAACAGGAAAAAAAAAAAAAAAAAUUCUCAUUCUUCUUUUCUCGCUAACCCUAGAAACGCGAUAGAGAAAACGAUUUCUUCUCCUCCGCCGAUCUCCUGCCUCCGCUCCCUCCGAUUCUUCUCCGGUUUCAUCUCCGGUUUCAUCUCUUCGAUUCUAUUUCACCUCUCCGUUUCUUCUCCGGCUUCAUCUCCUCGAUUCUAUUUCACAUUUCCUCGGGCGAUUUUCGAUUUCUUCUCACCUCCGCCGAUCCUAACGAGCUUUGAUUUGUGCUUCUCUCCUCUCCUCCGCUCCUUCUGCUGUUAAGGCCAGUAAUAAGCCUUUGAAAGGUAUGAACUUUGGUUCCCUUUUACCUUAAAUGCUUUGGUCUUGUCUUUCUCUGUUACAUAACGAGUUUGGUCUUGAAAGUUUGCAUUUUUAUAUCUAUGUUUCUCCUUCUGAUAUGUCUGAUGGAAGUAUUUGUGUAAUUUGUUUGUCUCAUGAACCCGUAAGAUUGGUUUGGGAAUAUAGGUCUUAGAAUUCGAUAGGUGUUAUUUGUCUAUCUCUGUAGUAUAUUUCAAUCAUGAAUUCAAAACCUUUAAUGAUGAGAUUGAACGUUUUAUUGAUAAAAACUUUGUUUGCUGCUUCUCUUUAGGUAAGAGGGAGCCUGAAGAUGAUGUUGAUACUAAAGUGAGUCUUAAGAAGCAGAAGGAAGACGUGAUUGCUGCUGUACAAAAGUAAAAAGCUGUGAAGAAGGUGACUAAGAAGGUUGAGAGCUCUGAUUCAUCAGAUUCUGAAUCUGAGGAAGAUGAGAAGGUAUAACUUUUACUAUCUUAAUUUAUUUUUGUUGGUUUGAGCAUGUGAAUUGAGUUAUUUCUAAUCAGCUUUAAUACAUCUGACAGGCUAAGAAAGUUCCAGCCAAGAAGGCUGCAACCAAGAAGCAUGCUGCGGCUGCUGCUAAAAAGGCCAAGGUCUGAGAGUUCGUCUGAAGAUGAUUCAUCCUCUGAUGAGGACUCAGAUGAUGAUUCUGAGGAUGAGGUGAUAAAUUUUUCUGUUUGUUGAUCACUUAUUUCACUUAUGAAUUGUGUUUUACUAUUACUAAAACUAGUUGUAUUUGUUUAGUUUAAAUAGAAGGCUGUUGCUACCAAGGCUGCAAGCAGUUCAGAUUCAUCUGAUGAAGAUUCUGAUGAGGUUAGCUUAACAUAUUUGAUUUGAUAGUCUUAAAAUUCUUUUCAAACAACUUUGUAUUUUCUUUAUAUCAGUCAUUGACAUCAUCCAUGUGUCUGUUGAUAUUUGCAGGAAAGUGAAGAUACUACUGAAUGUCUUCAUGGUGCAAUUGUUGUGGAGAAGAUGCGUAGGUGAAAGGUACACUCCUAAAUUGCUUUAAUUGUUAAUUUCUGUGUGUGUAAAAUUGAAUUGAAUUGAGAUUAGGAACAAUGAAAUUAAAUAGAAACUGACCACUUUAAUUUAGUAGAGAUUAGAUAGAUGUGGUUGAGAAUGUAGUUGUCUUUAAAUGAAUCAAUGAAUACAGAAAAAGUAGAUAGUGAAUUUAUUGUGAUCUCUUUAACAAUAGUUUCUCUGAAGUUUAAUGUAUUUGUGGCGUUGGUGAUGAGAUGGAGUGAAUUUAAACAGAAAAAAAAAAUUAAAUGCAACUGAACUUAAACUUAAAGUUCAAUAAAAUGGUGAUGAGACAUUAGCCAUCUAAAUUAAAGUUAUGUUGAUGGCUAGUGUCUCAGUAACUUGAAUUAGUAUUGUGUUUGUUAUUUAUUGAGGCUUUUCCUUUAUAAUGUCGACAAUGAGAACUAAACAAACCACUUAAACUCUUCUAAAACACAAAAUGGCUUCCAACUUAAACUAUUCCUCCUCUCAAUCCUUCACCAAUCUCUUGUUUAGCCAAGAAGAUAACCCAACGCCUCUCAGUCCUUCACAGCCUCCUUUUUCUGAAUCCCAAACACCCACAUCCUUAGCUAGGGCGUCUAGAGUGAGAUGGAGUGUUCCUGAAGAGAAGGCACUUGCAAGUGCCUGGCUCAACACAUCCAAAGACUCUGUUGUGGGGAAUGAGCAGAGAUCAGCUGCCUUUUGGGAUAGGGUUGCAGCAUAUUAUGCUGCAUGUCCUGCUGUCUCUAAGCUCACCAUCCGAGAGCCAAAUACUUGUAAGCAGAAAUGGCAAAAAAUGAAUGAGCUUGUGAUGAAGUUUGCAGGCUGUUAUGAGUUUGCCUCUCGGACUCCUCGCAGUGGAGAGAAUGAAGAUGACAUUAUCGUGCUGGCCUACAAGCUUUACCAUCAAGAUCAAAAAAACAAAUUUAGUCUUGAGCAUGUUUGGAGAAUCCUCAAGACUGAUCAGAAAUGGUGCAAUUGGUGUGAGACCAAACUUCCUGCCAAGAAGAAAGCUAAACUUUCAUCUGUAGAAGAAGAGAGUCUCCAAAGGCCUAUAGGUGUGAAGGCAGCCAAGGCUUUAGCCAAGUCUAAAGGUAAGGGAAAGAGUGAAGGAGGAGCUGACGCUAGUUCUGCUGCUGAACUUCAGCUUUUGUGGGAAGUGAAAGAGAAGGAUUUGGCUUUCAAAGAGAGACUCUCCAAGCAGAAGCUACUUGACAGCCUUCUUGGAAGGUCUGAUGGAUUGAGUGAGAUGGAAAUUGAACUUAAGAACACUCUUAUCAAAGAGUAUCUGUCUGGAAGCAAUGUGUUUGUUUCUGAGAAUGAAUAUUCUGGUCUUUAGGUAUGUGUUGUUAGUUAAGUUGUUUUGUUUACUUAAUAUGUCAUAUGAUUUGAUUUUCUUUUGCUUAAUUAUGUGCAGGCCCUCCUCUUGGAAGCUAGUGAUGUCGGCAAGGAAUGGAUUGAGUGGUUCUUUUGCUUUAUUGUAGUGUACUGUGACUGUUUUUACUCGGAUGUACUUUGUAAGCAGAAGCCACUUGUUUUUUGUUUUGGUAUGGCACAAUGUAUGGUCGGCAAGUGGUUGUUUUUCUAUGGUCAGAACCUAGUUGUUUUUAUUUUGUAUUGUAUGAAUGAAUGUAUUAUUUUCGACAAUGUAUGGUCGGCAAUGUUUUACUUUAUAUUGUAUGAUGCACAAUGUAUGAUUUUAUAUUCUCUUAUAUAUAUGUCUUUGUGUUCUCAUAUUUCUCAAUACAACUCUCAUAACGAUUCUUCCUCUUUCUCAUAUUCCUCUAAAAACAAGUCUUUCUUCUAUUUCUCUAAAAACAAGUCUCUUUUAUUUGUUUGUUUUCUCUAAAAAUAUUUCUUUGUUUUUUUUCUCUAUAAACAAGUCUCUUUUAUUUGUUUUCCUUCUCUAAAACCAAUUCUCUUUCAAUUGUUUUCCUUUUCAAAACACAAAUCUCUUUUUAUUUUUUGUACGUUUUGCUUCUUAAAAAGUAAUGGCAUCACAUUCUCAUGAUCAUGACUCUUUUGAUGAUAUUAUAGAGGAAAGGAUUGAAAAUUGUUUUGAAGAUGGUUUAGAUAAUUACAGUAGACGUAUAGCGGGAAAAAAAAAGAAAAAAAGGGCUGCUAAUAUAGAGAGAGAUCGGGAAGAAGGAAAUAUUCGAUUAUGGAAUGAUUACUUUUCGGAUGACCCCGUUUACCAUGAUCGCAUGUUCCGACGGCGAUUUCGAAUGACCAAGCCGUUGUUCGUUCGUAUUGUUCAAAGUCUUUCUCAAUUUCCAUAUUUCCAACAAAGGGAGGAUGCUACUGGGAAGCAAGGUCUAUCUGCCCUACAGAAAUGUACUGCCGCAAUUAGGCGUCUGGCAUAUGGUCUUGCAAACGAUGCGAUGGACGAAUACCUCCGCAUGGGCGCAACCACUGUGAGCCAAGCACUAGAGAAUUUUGUAGAUGGCAUAAUAAAUUUAUUCCAAGAUGAAUAUUUGAGGCGGCCUACACGUGAGGAUCUAGAACGAUUACUUCAUUCUGGAAAGGAACGUGGAUUUCCGGGAAUGGUAGGAAGCAUUGACUGUAUGCAUUGGGAGUGGAAGAAUUGUCCUACGGCUUGGAAAGGACAGUAUUCACGCGGACAUGGAAAACCCACUAUUGUUUUAGAGGCCGUGGCAUCACAAGAUUUAUGGAUUUGGCAUGCUUUUUUUGGGGCUCCAGGUACGUGUAAUGAUAUAAAUGUUCUUGACCGCUCACCGGUGUUUGAUGAUAUAUUAGAAGGUCGAGCUCCACGACUCACGUACGAAGUCAAUGGACAUCAAUACAAAAUGGGUUAUUACCUCACAGAUGGUAUAUAUCCGAAGUGGGCAACAUUCAUCCAAUCAAUUACCUGCCCACAAGGACCGAAAGCAUCAUUAUUUGCUAGUUGUCAAGAAGCAGUGAGAAAAGAUGUCGAGCGUGCUUUUGGAGUCUUGCAGGCUCGGUUUGCUAUUAUUCGAAACCCAGGUCUGUUUUGGGAUAAAGAGCGAAUGGGCAAGAUAAUGAGAGCAUGUAUCAUAUUGCACAAUAUGAUUGUAGAAGAUGAACGAGACGAAGAUACUCAGUUCGAUUUAUCUGAUUUCGUAGAAGGCGAAGGAAGCGGGACUUCUCAAGUAGACAACUCUUUUUCUACAGAGACAGCUACAAAUGUGAACAAUUUGAUGGCCAAUCGAGCUCAAAUACGUCAUGAACAAACACAUCGACAAUUGAAAGAAGAUUUGAUUGAACAUAUUUGGCAAAAAUGGGGCCAAGGUAAUUGACUACAAGCGACUAAAUUAUUUUUAUCAUCAUGUUUUUUUUCAUUUUUUUUGAAUUUUAUGUUUUAUUUUGCUUUAUAUUCUACGUUUUUUUUUUUUAUUGUAAUAUUACAUUUUGUAAUCCUAUGUUUUAAUAUAUUUAUUUUUGAUUUUGCAAUUUUUUUUUUUUUAUGAUAAUUAAACCAGUCUCACCAAUGCAAACAUAUUUAGUAGGAGUAUCAUAAAAAAUCUCAAACAAUAAACAAACAUUAUAAAUAAUACUAAAAAAUUCCUAAUGAUACUAAAUGGGUAUCACCCAUGUAUAUGCUCUAACAAAUGAAAUUAUAAGCUGGUGGUCCAACAUAACCUUAUAGACAUUAAGCGUACCAAACAGUGCAUGCUGAUUCCUCUUUCCCUAGAUAUAGAGAUGAGACCCAUAUCAGCUAGGGUUUGUAUCCCUUUCUCCACGUCCCAAUCCUUCUCCGAAAGCGAGAAUAUGGCGUCUUUCACGUUCACACCAAAGCUUAUAUUUUCAGUUAACAGAUUAAAUAAUGUUUUGUGUUUCUCAGAUAAACCAUCAUAUGCAUAUCUUAUUGCUUUCUCAAUUUCCUUGUCGUCAAUAUAAGUUUCGAGUUUAGCUGGUGUCAUUAGCCACUCCUCUUUGCUCUUCCCACGUAAAGCCGAUCCUAAAACCUUGAGACCAAGUGGAAAAGGAGCAACAAACUGCGCUACUUCGAUGGCGUGCUCCAUGUAACCUCUUGGUGGAGAGCUUUGCCCAAACGCAGAGUAUGAGAAGAUUUGUUGAGCUUCUUCGCUUGAUGGGAAAGCAACUUUGUAUAUCUGAUUGAUCUCGUUCCUCCGAAAUGUAUUUAGAUUUACAUUCGUCACAAUAACCUUACUUCCGAAUCUAAGACCCUUAAUUAGAUUUCCUAAAGCUUGUAGCUCCUCGGAACAGGCAUCAUCAAGAAUGAGAAGGACUCUCUGGUGCUUUAACCUAAAUUGCGCCUCUUGUAAGUCGGGUAUCUUCAUUUCCCGAUGAUCUAAAACUCCAGAGAGUAUCUCUUUUUCCAAAUGGUUUUGCAAGCCAAUGUGGUCAAGUGUGAGCAAUAUCCUAUGCGUUUCCUCAAGAUUCUCCUUAUAAAAUUUAAGCUGGAAGUUGCAAGACACUUCUUUGUAUAAAGCUCUAGCUAUAGUGGUUUUGCCAAUACCAGCAGGACCCCAUAUUCCCACUAUCUUAACCUCAUCGGAUUCUAAGCAUAUCAUUGAUUUCAUAUUUUCUACAUGAGUUUCAAUUCCAACUAACCGAUCAAAGUCUGAAGACGGUAACUCGUUUAAAACAUCCAUGACGAUUUUCGAGAUCAUCGCCGCUUCACUAGCCCUACAAAAGACAGUUUCAUAUGAAGUGAGGACAGGACACUAUUAUAUCUCGAUACAAAACCUAAAAUAACUUCACCAUAAUGAAAGUUGGAAUAACUUCAUUACGAAAACAGUAUAUAUUACCAUGAAACAGAAUGUUCUCCAGCAAUAACCGCAACUUCAGUCAAAGCUUUUCUCCAUCUCUGCUUUUCUUCCUCUGUCUUCCCAUCACAAGUUUCCUCAAAGACUUUCCCGAAAUCUCCAGUCUGCUUUCUCACAUCAGACGGAUCCACAUCGUAGAAGAUUGUCAUAACAGUCUGUCCUAAAGUAACCCUGCACUCUAAAAUUAACUGCAACUCGUUUAGACACCAGCUCGAAGAGGCGUAGUUCUUAGAGAGGAUCACGACGGCAAUCCUUGACUCCCUAAUAGCUCUUACGAGCUCAGAGUUGAUAGAAUCGCUCCUCAUGAUCCCAUGAUCUACGAACGUUUUGAUUCCCUUGCCUUUCAACCCUUCAAGAAAGUGGCUGAGAAAGCUUCUGCGGACGUCUUGACCGAAAAAGCUUGGGAAGACGUCGUAACUGUAUUGACGUGUUGAUGAUGAUGGUGAAGAAGGAGGGAUGAAAGGAUGAAGAAAAUUGUAAUCAUCAGUUCUUGAUUCUUUCAAGAUCGACUUGAGAAUUCCUGCGAAGAACAUGUUUUUUUUUCUUUGUAACUCUGAGUGUACGAUGACCAAUAAUCAGAGCCGUGUCUAGAUUAACAGAGGCUGGAGGCGAAUAAAUUAAAACAAAAUUGUGUUAUUGUAAACAUUUUGGCAAUCAUCAAAACUAAAACAGAGCAACAAUAAUUAUCUUAGUUGUCUUUUAUUUUCUUGUCAUUUAAAUCAGAUUUUUUUUAAUCAAAUUUAUAGCCAACACAAGUAUAUAUUUGUACAUAGUUGGUCUCUUCAACAAAAAAAUAUAUUUUCAAAGUUAAGGGCUUUCAGAAAAAGAAGUAUACUUAUCUUUCAAAACCUCACUAUCUAUGUUUUGUCAUCUCUGUUUAUGGUUUGUAUAAUUUUGAAAAAUCCAUCUCGAUUAUUUCUUCAUAUACAUACUUGAAUAAAACCAUGACAUGUUAAUUAUGCAUUUUGAUAAUUUUUAAGAAAAAUUGGCCGUAGGACAAUGUUUACUUUUAAUUUACAUAGGGCGGCCAAUAAUAUAUUUGAAGAAGACUUUUGGACUUGGUAUUCGCCUACGUGAAUAGGUUCUACAUAAUAUAAGAGCCCCUACAAUUGAUUAAUCUUGUACGUGCUUACACGUUUUCAAAUUUCAGCUGAUGUUCAAUCAGUAAAAUAUGACAUUGCAACGUUCAAAAUCUUGCAAGAAAAGAGAGUUUUAAUCAAUAAACUUUAAUUUGUUUCUAAAACAACCAGUUUUACGGUUAGAUAAUGGACUAUGGAGUAUUCCAGUUGGGACAAUCAAAUUGUAAACUUACAUAGAACCGCCAACAGAAUAAGAGAACGUCCUGAAAACAUAGUCCUCAUCGGACUAGAACAGAAUUUGAAAAACAGAGGGAAUUAAACAAACACAUAAGCAAAUGCGGGAACUGAAGAAAACUCAAAAACAACUUGGUCCAACACGGUGCAAGCUGGUAAGUGUGUUCAACCAAAAAAGAGUAACAAAGAUGCGAUGCAUCAUAGAUACAAUAAGUAAAUAAUCUUCUAUAAACAUUUAUAAAGACACGAAGCACAAACAGUCCCCACAUCGACUUUGAAGUAAGUGGAACCCUGACAUCGAUCCUCACACCGGCUGCAAACCGGUCGAGUGCGACUCUUGUUGUCAAGAACUUCCACCAUUCUUCGAUUAUGAUAUUUGAAAGUGUUACCAGGCUUCAGAUAAACGUGAAAUCCAAAUAAGCAAUUACGAUGAAUAGUGAUGCAACAUAUGUUGCACGUGUAAAACCAUUCGGACGGAUUUACUUCCUUUUCGCAUUCUUCACACCAAUACUUGCCGUCCGUGUCUUCUCCAUAGCAAAGAGUGAGAGGAUGUUUAUCGUAUUUAUAGUGUAACUCAUUUGGAAUCGUAGCACACUCAUAACAAAUGGAAUACUCGCAAAGAGUACUACAUUGUAGACGAUUCUUGGUAAGACCUCUCUUACAACCAUUGCAGCGAAAAGGUUCAUGGUCGUAAUUGAAUGGAGCGAUGAAUAGAGGAUGUUCAUGGACUUUGUUGGUGCUAUACUCAGGAAUUAAAAAGCAGCAAACAUCUAUCUUAAACCAAUUAAUCUGGCAAUCCUUUUUAGUGCACUUAUACUUGAAACCAGUGGACAUUCGCGAACAAGCUGAACACUGCAGUUUACCAAUAUUGGGUAGAGGAGAUGGGUCGAGGACACGUGUCAGUCUAGAAAAUCGAAAUUUUGAAUUUAGUACCCUUUGUUAUACAUAUCUCGAGCCUAAAGAGUGCUCGAUGUGAAAUGAUUUAUUUGGAUCUUAACAUCAUAGAAAAUUAGAAACAAUACAGCAAUUAAACCAAAACUAAAAGAAACUUUGCAACAACUAAGAUUUGCACAAACCAAAAGAUUUGCCAAUCAUAAGAACAUAAACUUAACUUUUUCCUUUCAGUUUAAUAUAUAUGUAUACAUUACAUGUAUACGUAUCUAACAGUGUUGUAAUUCUUACAUCUAACCUCAUUGAGGUUAGUUCACUCUUUCUUUAUGUCUCUCUCUUUAUCACACUAUGUUCUUGUUCUUGCUUAGAGAGGAACACAAGAAACGUUUUUGCUUUAAUCUUCUACAUUGUAUUAAUUGGAUCACAAGGAUACUCUUACACAACACACAUAACACAUACAUAUAGUGGUUUAUCUCCACUUGCUACUCUAGACACAUGAACCUUAAUCAUGACUCUUACACAAGCCAUACUCCUAAACACUAGGCUAACUAUUGACCUUACUUCUAGAUAGAAGUCAUACAAGCAACGUUUAACAACUCUCGUAGACUCUUACCACUCCUACUAACAACCAUUUAGACAAAACACUCUUCACUAGUUUGGGCCUUUUCACUUGUAGGCCCAUCACACCAAACAGAAAAACACCAAGCCCAACUUCCUUGUUGACUUGUCUUCUGUCGUUGACUCUCUUUGUCGACUUCUUCUUCUUCUCUUUGCUCUGCUAAAGCUUUCUCUUUGUUGCAGGUUUAAUCAAGGACUCAAUUCCCAACAAACAGGCAUACCCGAUGUAUGAUGGCUUUCAAAUAUGCAAACGUACGGAAACGGUACAUGCAAUUGAUCAAUAACGUACUGCUUAUGCAGAUACUCAAUGUAUAUUAGCUCGACUCCUGACCAUGAUAGUCCACAAUCUCUAUACUUGCAGGGAAAGGUGGUAUUGUUCUAAGGUUCUUACAACCCGCCAUUUCCAAUGAAACAAGCCGAGAACAUAACUUGAUUUGCGAAGGCACUUUCUCUAUCGCUGUUUCCCCAAGAGACAUGAAUUGAAUCUGCGUUGAAAUAAACGGAAACCUCUUCAGCUUCGAGCAUCCUCUCAGAUUAAGGACACUGAGGGAUUCCAAGUUGAUGUUGGUUGGAAGAGUCUUCAGUUUUAUGCAACAAGACAUGUCCAACACUUUUAGCUUAUUAAGAUUUUGUAAAGCAGAAGAAGGAACUGUGACCAAAUUUUCGCAGAACCUAAGAUACAACUUCUCCAGAUUUUUUGCUCUUGAGAGGUUUGGAAUAUCUCCAAUGUUUGUGGAUGCGCUCAAAUCCAUAUACUUGAGACUUGUCAGUGGCUGGAAACAUACACAGCCAGAUGAAAUAAACAGAGAGAAUAUUUUAAGAGGAUAAGAUUAUCCCAUUAGAAACUUUGAUAUGAUAAGCAUACCUGAAUACCUUCCCAAAGUUUCUCGAGCUUGCUAUCUCGCAUAGUAAGUUCGACAAGAAAUUCAGGACGAAACUUAGAGGGCAUACAUUUUAUAGGGUACGAAUCCCAAUGUAGUAAUCUAAGUUUACGUGGUAGAUAAUCUAAGCCGUGAGGUAAGUCAAACUCGGCUGCUUUAUCAGGAAUACUAUUGUAUAGCCUCAAGAAUUGGAGAUUAGGCAUUUUCUCAAAGGCUUUUUCACUUAUAUACACUUGACCAUCGAUUUCGGACAUAUCUAAUGAUAUUCCUAAAACAGUUUUUGUACCCUGCAUAUAUACCAAAAGAAAGAACGCAGUUAAUUAAUGAAACAUAUUAGCAAAAGUGGACAUUGUGAUGAGUAGGAACAUGGAAAGAAUGUGUCAACACUUACGGUUUCAUCUGCAAGUACAUCUGAAAUCUCCAAAGCAUCAACUAUAAACUUACCUUUCCCGGGGUCGUGGAGACAUUGUCCCCGAGUAAUUUCUUUACCCAUUUGUUGUAACAAACAAUGCAUUACUAUAUAUCCAUCAGCACAUAUAUGUAUAAGAGAUCUGUCAUUAAGGACUUUAAGUCCAAAUUCUGCAUCCAAUGCACUAAUUGCAAGCAAUUCCUUCACACGAUCAACCUUUUCGCCAUUGAACAAACACGCGAUAUGAAGAAACAGAGCCUUAUCUUUCUCAUCUAACCCAUCAUAGCAUGCUCCUAAUAGUUUUUCGAUUUUCCCAUUUAGACUGGUUCUAAGCCUAGGUAGCGCGUUUAUCCACUCAUCCUUUCUCAUCCCUCGCAAAGAUGCACCUAAAAUGCUGAGACCUAAGGGAAGAUCUCCAGCAAGUUUUGCAACUUCAACAGCUACAUCAUAGUAGCCUUCUGGGGCCGAGGUUUUUCCAAAAGCAAAUCGACAAAAGAUAUGAAAGGCUUCAUCUUUAGAUGGAAGACACACGUCAUAGACAUGAUCAAUCCCAUGAGCUUUCAAAAGCUGUUUAUCUUCUGUAAUCACAAUAACCCUGGUUCCAUUACCAAACCAUUGAGUUUGAUCUGCCAAGGCAUGUAGUUGUUCUACAUCAUCUACAUCAUCAAGAACAAUAAGAGCUUUCUGAUUCUUUAGCCUUUCUUGUGCUACACCUAAAUGGCUUAUAUUUAUAUUCCUUUGGUUGAACAUUUCAGAGAGAAAUCUUUCUUGUAAAUGCAGCUUCAGUCUGUAACCAUCAAGUUUGUUUCUCUUACUGCUUCUCUUAACAUUCUCCAUGAAAAGAUUUUGCUGAAAUUCAUCACCAUCAGAAGAAAGUUGAUUGUAUAAAGCUCUGGCAAUGGUGGUCUUACCGAUUCCAAUAGGACCCCAAAUCCCUAUCAUCCUCACGUCAUUAGACUGUAGACAUAACAUCGAAUUCAACUUCGCGACAUGAGCUUCCAAUCCAACUAAAUCGUCGAAAUCCUUUGAAGGAGUGCAGCAAUUCAGCUCUUCCGAAACAUCCGCAACAAUUUUCUCAAUCAUACUUGCUUCAUUGUCCCUAAUAGAUAGAAAAACCGUUGUGUCUAUCAAAUGAUUAUAAUGAAUCUCAAAAUUAUACAUAAAACGACAAACGAAAAGCAUAAAUAAAAAACAUGAUUUGUCUAUCAAAGAGAUGACCCAGCGAUUUUAUUUAUUACUGUGAUUAUUGCACUAACCAUUUUUCAGAGCAAUAGCCAGAGACAUUAGCAACAUCUGUUAAAGCUUGCUUCCAUCUCUGCGUCUCUUCAACUGUUCUUCCCAAGCAAGUUUUCUCAAAGACCUUCCCAAAAGCUCCUGUCUGUUUUCUAACAUCGGAUGGAUCCACCUCAUAGAAAACUGUCAGCAAUGUUUGUCCCACAGCUUCCCUGCAUUCCAUGAUCUCUAGCAACUCAUCCAAGCACCAGCUUGAACCAGCGUAGUUACUUGAGAGAACGACUAUAGAAAUCCUUGAUUCCCAGAUGGCUUGUUUAAGUUCAGGCCAUAUGGAUCGACUUCUCUUGAUUCCAUGAUCUUUGAAUGCAUUGAUUCCCCUAAGUUGUAGCUCCUUUUGAAGAUGGCUUAGAAAGUUCUUACGGACAUCUUCUCCGCAAAAGCUCGGAAAGACAUGGUAUCUCCACCAAUGAAAUGAUGAAGAAGAAGGAUAACAAACAGAGGAAUCAGCCAUGAGAAAGAUCUAAAAGAGAAGUUUUUAUUUUUAUUGACUCUCGCCAAUCAAAUCGGACAAUUAUCUCACGAACGAUGAUGCCAUUUUCAAGUGGGGAAUCUUGUAAAGUCAAUGACGCCGGCCAUCCUUUAAAAAUUUUCCACAUGCCAAUUUUUUUGCCACAUCCCAGAUUUUUUUUAAAAAUUAAAAAACGUACUCAAACAGGAAUUUGUCUUGGUCGUGUAGACCCUAGAGCGUCGUCCCUUACAAUCGAAUCAAGUUCCAAUGGAACAGAAACAAAAGAGUGAAAACCCAAAGGUAAAGAAAAAACAUAGUUUGCUAAUCCAUCUGCUAGACGAUUAGCUUCCCUAUACACGUGAACAACUCGGACUAUCCAGUCCUUUACGAUAAAGCCAUAACACAAACGUACCAGGAAAAACAGCGGAUGUGAAUCAUUAAUCCCUGUCUGCAAAAACCCAACAACUAAUUCCGAAUCCACCUCCAACUCCACCCUCGUAACUUUCUUCUCCCAAGCAAUAUAAAGACCGUAAUACACACCCCAUAAUUCUGCCAGCGGUGCGGAACAUCUCCCAAUAUCAAACGCGAAUCCUCCACACCAAUUGCCAUCCCCAUCCCGUAAAACUCCUCCUGCAAUAGCCAAACCAUGAUUACCUCUCGAAGCCCCGUCCGUAUUAAGCUUCAUCCAUCCAACCUGUGGAGAAACCCAUCCUAUCAUUCUCUCCACUCGGGCCCGCCUUGGAUUAUGUCCUGCCUUAGAGAUUUUUUUGCCUCAUCUUGUGACACCCUUUAGAACACCCUUAAAAAUUAGAACGUGAAGGCUCAGUUUUGCUCAAUCAAUUGGGGUCUAGGGUUUAAUAAAAGAGAAAUUACAUUUCUGGUCGAUCCCGUUAUUAUGUAGAUAUAUUUUUAUUUGUCACAAUAAUCUUACUUCCAAGACUAAGACGCUGAAUUAGAUUUCUCAAAGCUUGUAGCUCUAUUGAACUCACAUGAUUAAGUAUGAGAAGGACUCUCUGGUGCAUUAUCUUGCGCCAGCUUCCUUGUAGGUACAUAGCUUUUGUUUCUUCACUUCUUCUUUUUAAAAAACUGUAUCCAUUAUUUAAAUACUUCUACCUGCAUAGAACAAAGUAGAGAGAAGAGUCUCAACUCGAGAGGUAAGUCUUGGAGGACUGCAAAGAAAGAUCCACAUAGCAGAGUUAGAACAUUUCGAAGAAGAGUAGUGAUAUGGAUGAAAAAUCUCUUCUGUUUUUGGGUAACCAGGUGAUUGAGCCUCCUAUACUAACUCUGCAUUAUCAUAGUGUGUGCAUCAGUGAGAAUCUGUGUGAUCUCGGCUAAAAGAAGAAGAAUAAUUUGAACCACUUAGUGAUGGAUGCAAAUGUUUAUCCUCUAUCUUUGGACUCCUCAAUGCUCUGUUUUUUUCUUCUUCUUCUCUAAUGAUCUGUUUUAUGUCUUGGUCCAUGUUAAUUUUUUUGCUUAGGCAAGCUAAACAUUAAUAUUUCCAAGCUAACUUUGGUAAUCUAAGCUCAUAAGAACUAAUAUAAAAGCUAGAAAGACUGCAUAGGCAAAAGACCAAGUCUAAAAAGUCGUGAAUGAAGUUAUUGGUAGUCAGACUCAUCAACAAUUUACAAAAAAGCAUAAUUUUAGUAGGAAUGACUAAACAAUAUGUUGGAGAAUCAAGAAGAGAUUAAACAAAUUCAUAAUUUCCUUCCUGUGAUCAUAUUAAUAUAGUGCAUAUAUAUAGUUACUAUGCAUACAAUUGAACCAAACUUAAUAUAUCUUGUCUCACAUUGGAAUAUGAGGGACGCUGAAUGGUUGAUUGAGAGGAGCUAUUUAAGCUAAAGGUCGGUGAGAUUCGAGAAAAAGGAGAGACAAAUAGACCAAUCACCUUUUGAAGAAAGAACAAAAGCAAUUUGCUUAAAAUCUGACAUGUCCUUGGUGGCAUUGAGUGUCAUCCACCCACCUUCAAUCUCCUUGUGUAUACUAAAGUCUAAAGCUAUUAAAGAACCAUAAGAGAGAAUCUUCAAUUAGUCAAAAGCAACUUAGAAAAACAAAAGCCGAAAGUAAGAGAAUUACGUAAUCUGUGACCAGAAAGAGAAACAUAUGAAUGUAUUUCAAUUAACAAACCGAAAAAGGGAAAGCAAAAUGGGAAAACUACAAAAGAAAUAGUAAACAAAGUGUGAAUUGACAGGAGUUGCUUCUAUAUCAAGUUAAGAAUCUCACGUAUUAAAAAAAAAAAAAAUUCUAUGGCUUAACUCAAAAUAUGUAUGGUCGAAAACUAAAAUCUUUACACUCAGUACAAAAAUGAAAAUUCACAAAUUCUUAAACACUGAUUCGAUUGAACAGUUUUGAAUGUGCAUGCAACAACUGCGACAUCUGUCAUAUUUUUCUCCCAUUCUUCAAGUAUCUUCAGUGAAUAUCUCAAUAAAACUACAGUUCAUAUUUACUAUUUUUACAUAUAAACACAAAAACACAGGCUCUUUCCUAUCAGAUGCACCUAAAAUAAUUUAAUUUAACUUGUCCUACUUUUUGAUUCUUUCACACUUUUUUCUU